rnacentral:rRNA from 1 species
UACAGAGGUCUCAAGCGUUGUUCGGAUUCAUUGGGCGUAAAGGGUGCGUAGGCGGCGCGGUAAGUCGGGUGUGAAAUCUCGGAGCUUAACUCCGAAACUGCAUUCGAUACUGCCGUGCUUGAGGACUGGAGAGGAGACUGGAAUUUACGGUGUAGCGGUGAAAUGCGCAGAUAAUCGGGAAGAACACCCGUGGCGAAAGGCG